CCUACGGGGGGCAGCAGUGGGGAAUAUUGGACAAUGGGGGCAACCCUGAUCCAGCCAUGCCGCGUGUGUGAAGAAGGCCCUCGGGUUGUAAAGCACUUUCAGUGAGGAAGAACGCCUGGUGGUUAAUACCCAUCAGGAAAGACAUCACUCACAGAAGAAGCACCGGCUAACUCCGUGCCAACAGCCGCGGUAAUACGGAGGGUGCGAGCGUUAAUCGGAAUUACUGGGCGUAAAGCGCGCGUAGGUGGCUUGAUAAGCCGGUUGUGAAAGCCCCGGGCUCAACCUGGGAACGGCAUCCGGAACUGUCAAGCUAGAGUGCAGGAGAGGAAGGUAGAAUUCCCGGUGUAGCGGUGAAAUGCGUAGAGAUCGGGAGGAAUACCAGUGGCGAAGGCGGCCUUCUGGACUGACACUGACACUGAGGUGCGAAAGCGUGGGUAGCAAACAGGAUUAGAUACCCCUGUAGUC
rnacentral:rRNA from 1 species